rnacentral:lncRNA from 1 species
GUCUGGCCCUCGGUCCCUGUAGGAUCCAGGGUGGGAAAGGGGACUAAGCCCCUACUCGCCACCCCUGGUGCUCUGGUGCUGAGCUGAGGCACUUGUUCCAGCAGAGCCAUCCCUCACCACAGAGGCUUCUGUUCAUGGGGCGUCCGGGCACAUGGGGCAGCCCGCCUGGUCCUGGAGCCCUGGCCCAGCAGGGCAUACCCUUGCCAGCAGGGAGGAGCCCAUGUGCCGACCCAGCUCUGCCCUGCCGAAUCCACACCGCCAGGCUGCAUUCUACCAGGGAGGUUGGCAGGACUGCCUUCUGGAAAUCAUGAUUCAGAGACGGCAGGUGACAUGGCCCUGUUCUGCACACGGAGGUUGUGAGCUGCAGUCCUGGCCACACACGUGCCAUGCAGGGGCUCCAGGGCUGGAUGCCCCUGUCAGGGGGAGCAGCCACAGGCUUCUGGGCCCCCAUGUUGUGCAAAGGAGAGGCCCCUGCUCAGGAAGACCCCCAGCCAGGAUCGGCGCCCAACCUGCUGUGGUGCCACCUGCCAUGAGACUGCCAGUGGGCUUGGG